rnacentral:tRNA from 1 species
GGUUCUGUGGCGAAGUUGGUUAGCGCGCCCGGUCUGGCGAAUUGGGGAGACGUGGGUUCAAAUCUCACCAGAACCA